UCCUACGGGAGGCAGCAGUGGGGAAUAUUGCACAAUGGGCGGAAGCCUGAUGCAGCAACGCCGCGUGCGGGAUGACGGCCUUCGGGUUGUAAACCGCUUUCGCCUGUGACGAAGCGUGAGUGACGGUAAUGGGUAAAGAAGCACCGGCUAACUACGUGCCAGCAGCCGCGGUGAUACGUAGGGUGCGAGCGUUGUCCGGAUUUAUUGGGCGUAAAGGGCUCGUAGGUGGUUGAUCGCGUCGGAAGUGUAAUCUUGGGGCUUACCCCUGAGCGUGCUUUCCGAUACCGGGUUGACUUGAGGAAAGUA
rnacentral:rRNA from 1 species